GAGGAAGCUAAGAAGUAACAGUAGAUUACAUAAAGCAGGGAAAUUCCCCUCAAACUUCUCCCAGACUACCUGGAACUGAAGCUGAUUUGCAUACAUACAGUACAAAUAACUUUGCAAUGGCUUCUAGCCCCAUGAAAGGGUUACAUGUGUUCAUCUGUAAUCCUUGAGGCCAGUUCCACCAGUUGAAUCACUCAGAGAAGAUAAAAAGAUUGAAUCAGAGCUUGUAUAGAAAUCUAAGCAGUUUUACAUAGCAUCAACCAACUUCACAUGAGGAUACAACUGGGUAAUGCUAUUCCACACAAAAUCAAUGGGAACUGUUCAAUACCUGUUAGUGACUAAUAGUUAUUCUAGAAAAACAGUGCAGAAAAAACCUGCCAACCUAUGUUAUGCUUUUUAAUUUGUGAGAAUGGAUGGGUAGUAGUAUCAUACUUCCACUAAAAGUGCAACUAAACUUCCUAUAUAAAUCCUGUUUGGUGGAAAAUGGACCUUACUGUAAACCAGAAAAAAAGCUAUGGUACUGUUGUAGUGGAAAACUAUGGUCAGCUGCUUUACAAAAUCUGAGACUCAUUUGGCCAGGAAUUCCUGGGUGAUGCUGUUCAAAAAGCAGUGGUGUUAAACAGACUUCCAGAACUCCUGUGAUUUUUUUAAACAUCAUGGUUUAACAGAAACAAGCAAGUGAGCAGAGGAGGAGGAUGACUGAGACACAUUUUCCUUUGACAACUUAUGUAACGGAAAGGAUCGAACAAAUUUAAUUUGGGAAGGAACCAAUCCUGCCCUGCAGCCCAUACGAGUGAGGAACACUGCCUUGAAAGAUACUUUACUUAGUGCUACUUUACCUAGCACUACUGGAGAGACUUCAAGCAAUACAUCCAAUCUAUAGAAAGACCAAUGGAAACUCCCCAAAGAAAAGAAUAAAUGACGACAUUGUUUUUCAAAAA